AUUGAACGCUGGCGGCAGGCCUAACACAUGCAAGUCGAGCGGCAGCGGGAAAGUAGCUUGCUACUUUUGCCGGCGAGCGGCGGACGGGUGAGUAAUGCCUGGGGAUCUGCCCAGUCGAGGGGGAUAACUACUGGAAACGGUAGCUAAUACCGCAUACGCCCUACGGGGGAAAGCAGGGGACCUUCGGGCCUUGCGCGAUUGGAUGAACCCGGGUGGGAUUAGCUAGUUGGUGAGGUAAUGGCUCACCAAGGCGACGAUCCCUAGCUGGUCUGAGAGGAUGAUCAGCCACACUGGAACUGAGACACGGUCCAGACUCCUACGGGAGGCAGCAGUGGGGAAUAUUGCACAAUGGGGGAAACCCUGAUGCAGCCAUGCCGCGUGUGUGAAGAAGGCCUUCGGGUUGUAAAGCACUUUCAGCGAGGAGGAAAGGUUGGUAGCUAAUAACUGCCAGCUGUGACGUUAUUCGCAAAAGAAGCACCGGCUAACUCCGUGCCAGCAGCCGCAGUAAUAC
rnacentral:rRNA from 1 species